rnacentral:rRNA from 1 species
UCAAUCUCGUGCGGCUAUAUAUACCGCCGGUCCCUCUAAGAAGAUAUUCAUUGUACGCCGGUAGUGAAGACCGGGCGCCGCUCGGAUGUGACGACGCNNNACCGCGCACGCCGCCCCACUAGCCGAACGACACUUUACGGACCCUCUUGAUACCGGUUGCACGUCUAUUUAAUAGGCUAGAGUUACGUUCGUUAC